UGUAGGCGGAGAUGCAAGUUGGGAGUGAAAUCCCGGGGCUCAACCCCGGAACUGCUUUCAAAACUGCAUCCCUUGAGUAUCGGAGAGGCAAGCGGAAUUCCUAGUGUAGCGGUGAAAUGCGUAGAUAUUAGGAGGAACACCAGUGGCGAAGGCGGCUUGCUGGACGACAACUGACGCUGAGGCGCGAAAGCGUGGGGAGCAAACA
rnacentral:rRNA from 1 species